GGCAACGGGUUUUGGUCCCGCUAUUCGGAGGUUCGAAUCCUUCCGUCCCAG
rnacentral:tRNA from 12 species